GAUGAACGCUGGCGGCGUGCCUAAUACAUGCAAGUCGAGCGAACAGACGAGGAGCUUGCUCCUCUGACGUUAGCGGCGGACGGGUGAGUAACACGUGGAUAACCUACCUAUAAGACUGGGAUAACUUCGGGAAACCGGAGCUAAUACCGGAUAAUAUAUUGAACCGCAUGGUUCAAUAGUGAAAGACGGUUUUGCUGUCACUUAUAGAUGGAUCCGCGCCGCAUUAGCUAGUUGGUAAGGUAACGGCUUACCAAGGCGACGAUGCGUAGACGACCUGAGAGGGUGAUCGGCCACACUGGAACUGAGACACGGUCCAGACUCCUACGGGAGGCAGCAGUAGGGAAUCUUACGCAAUGGGCGAAAGCCUGACGGAGCAACGCCGCGUGAGUGAUGAAGGUCUUCGGAUCGUAAAACUCUGUUAUUAGGGAAGAACAAAUGUGUAAGUAACUAUGCACGUCUUGACGGUACCUAAUCAGAAAGCCACGGCUAACUACGUG
rnacentral:rRNA from 1 species